rnacentral:rRNA from 1 species
ACGUAGGGUGCGAGCGUUAAUCGGAAUUACUGGGCGUAAAGCGUGCGCAGGCGGUUCGCUAAGACAGGAGUGAAAUCCCCGGGCUUAACCUGGGAAUGGCGCUUGUGACUGGCGGGCUGGAGUACGGCAGAGGGGGGGGGAAUUCCUAGCGUAGCAGUGAAAUGCGUAGAGAUGUGGAGGAACGCCGAUGGCGUAGGCAGCCGCCUGGGCCGAUACUGACGCUCAGGCACGAAAGCGUGGGGAGCAAACAG